UCCAAACUUUUGGCCUGUACUGUAUAUGUGUAUAUGUAUGUAUGUAUGUAUGUAUAUAUACUUCUGGAAGUGAAGCUGGAGGGCAGAAAGUUUUUCUUACAACUAAUUUACGAGGAACAAGAACUGCAGCUUUUAAAUACCUCUUUCUGUGCAUAUGCACAUAAAUGUGUAUAUUAAAAACUGGAAAAGGGUUUCAUGUAAAGAUAGAACAAAAGUUUUUGUACACUCUUUGAUAUUACCUUUCCAAACAAAAAAAUUAAAAGAAAUACAGUAACUGCAGUGUUGGAAAAGAGUGAUAUAAACUUUGAUCUAUAUAGCCUUUACUUUGUCAGCUAGCUAUUGAACGUAAAUUAAAAUGAUAAUUAUUAGUCAUAGACUGUAAAAAUAAUAACUACCACAACAUCACCCAGUGGUUUGUAGACUCUCAUUUUGAAGCCUCACGUCUGGCAUUUUCACAGUAGCCAUCUUGGUUUUGUGGAACCAGAAAUGACUAUAUUUGGGUGAGAGGGUGGAGCUGUGGAAGACUGAGGGGUGGAUCUCACUGAGAUUCUGAGGACACUAUCAACAGACAGCCUGUCAUUUAGAGCAGUCUGGUCUUGAAACGUGCUUAACUUUAAACCUGAAAAAAAGGUAAAUUGGUGAGUUUUGUAAAAAUUGUUUUUCUAACAAACAUGUUUAUGUCGGCUGUAAAGGUGGGCCUUUCAACAUGGCAGAGUGUGGGGUUGACUGGCUUCUGGAGUCAGCCUCAAGUGUCUGUACAAAGAACUGCAGUCUUAGGCACUUUCAUGUUGGCUUCAGUUUUCAGCCCCAGAGUUUGAUGGUUGUUAUUAUUAUUAUUACUACUACAGGUGAAUUGUAUGUACAGUAUAUUAAAUACCUUUAAUAUAUGUGAUCCUGCUUUACAUGUUUCUGUCUUUCUUCCUUUUUUGCAGGCUUUACCACAAGCUUUUCCAGAGAACUUAUAGUUCACCGUCAGGAGGGGAGAUGCUGGUAGACCUCAAGGAUAGGCUAGAUCAGUACAACACGGUGCAAGGGGAAACCAGCGCAAAUAUGCCAAAAACUGAAGACCGUCAGGUGGUCAUCACCAUAUGUACCCAGGCCAUGAAAUGGGUGCACACAAAGAUGAGAGAGAGUGGAGAAAUGAUCUUUGUGGGUUCACCAGGUAUUUGUCCUUCUCACCCACUCCAUGGCUGGAGCAUUGCCAUUGGGUGUGCUCAUAAUGACAUCAGAGAGCCAGUCCACCAUUACAUGAGGACUUCAACUACUGCUAACCUUUUUUGCCUAGUGGUAUUUUUUUGGACGGGAACAGCCUCAACUCAUCAUGACGAGGGACUGCAGAUCUCUGCGGCAGUCCCUCCAUGUAGUUUUCCCUAAAGCCAGCCUGCUUCUGUGCAUGUUCCACCAAGCGCACACAAUAAUGUUGCUAAGCAAGACCGACCACAGCUGCCACAUUUAUUCAAGAGCCUUGUAUAUGCUAACUCAACUCUAUUACUGUACUUAGUGAUAGAGUACAAAGAUGUCUUCCUGAUCAUGUUGCAAUGAAAUAUCUUGGAUUCCUACACCACCUCGCAGAGGUGUGUUCUCUUUCUUAGGCUUCAUACAACACGUGAUCACUAUAUUUGCAAUACACUAUAACCAUCUUUCUGUAUGCUAUAACUAUCUGCAGCCUUACCGAUUAAUGGUCUGUUGUAUGAUGACUACAGGUGCAUGGGAGACAUGAAGAGUCUGUCUUCGCAAUGAUCUUUCAACAGGAGACAACACUAUCAAUUUUGUGGAGUGUUCUGCCAAUGUGGUGAAGGAGAAGAUCCUCCACAGGAUGAAGGCAUACAGUGCUACUCAGCUGGUAGAUGUUGUUGCCACCAGGAUGGCCUACUACAUUGGUUGCCUCACUGACAUAGCAAACAACAGAAGGGCUGGGGUUUCCAGAUUAAAGUGUGUCCUUCAUGAAAGUGAUGUGGAAUGUGGAAAGAUUGCACCAGUUUGGAGUAUGUGUUGUAUUUUUGUCUUGUAAUAUUUUCUAUUAUGAUGUAAAAUGAAAUACAUGGUUUGCAUCGUUUUUACAGGUAGACCAGAACCAGUACGUGGUUUCAAGCAAAACAUCAGAGUUGAAGUACAAUGUCAACACAGCAACUGGAUGCUGCAUGUGUCCAGUUGGAGUCACUGGUGCACUGUGCAAACAUCAAAUUGCAGUUUUGAAUAAGUUUGGUUAACAUAAGAGCUUUCCACACAUCAGCACACCUCAGACGAGAAGGCUCUACAAUGAGAUUUCAACUGUUUUGGGCAGGGCUCAUGAGGAGAGCAUGAAUGAGAGUCCAUCAGUUGCCAAAUCUAGUACCCCAGGUGGUGAAGGUGUUGUCAGUGCCGGUCUUGGACAAGGCACAUCUGGAGAGCACCUUGAGGAGAUGAUUCAGCAGAUCUACAAAAGUAUCACAAAUAAACUCAACAACUUUCUGGAAGCCUACAGCAAAACUGAUGAUACUUCCCUCACAUUAUCUGUGCAUUGUGUCUGCAUUGCUUUGGUAAGGUGCCACAGCUGAAAUAAAAAAAAAUCUCCAGUCUUCAAAAAUGAUUGGUGUAAAACCCGCAGCUCUUGCUAGAAGAAAAGCAGCAUUAGAAGAGAGGACCAGCAGUGAUACCUUGGCCACCUUCUAAGUGCUCAAGGACUGAGCAUAUGUAUUUAAAAAAACACGGCAGUGCAGGAGAAGUGAAGUGCACCCCAUUCCAUAUCAAACUGUGUAGAGGAAAACACAUCUCUCGGUGAUAAUCACAAGCUCAACUGCAGUGCACCUCACCCUUCCCAUCCAAGCCAGGGGAUGGACACUCAACUUCCCCAUUUCAAAGUGUUUUUUGAUGAACUGACUCAUGCAUGAAUGUAUUUGCUAUGGUCAGCAGUAAACAAUGUUAAGUAUAGCGACUUGACAGUAAGGCUCAGUAGCUCAUGUAGCAGUGUAUUUUGCUAACGUUAUAUUACCUUUACUUGUACUUAUUAUAGUAUAGAACAAUAUGUAACUGUUGCAGUAUUCCCGUUUAUUUAAUUUACCAGGCAGUCUUGAUUAUAACUUGUUCAUUUCUGCUGAAGUGUGUAAUAGUUAAUAGUUUUUAUGAGCAAGAUAUCACUAAAAAUCUACUUUUAGUGGUGGGAGAAGUUGGGGAGAAGUCAGAUCCUUCUAAGUUAAAGCAACAACACCUCAGUGUAAAUGUAUUCAUGCAUUCAACACUUUGCACGAGUAAUAUACAGAAGUAUUAUCAGCAAAAUGUUACAGAGAGUAGAAGUACAAAGAAUGACUGUUUCCAGAGAAAUGUUGGAAUCUUAGUGGUGAUGCAUUAAUCCUUACUGAUUAAUCAAUGCUAGUCACUGCCUGUGCUCGUUUGUGAAAUCAUUUAAAGCUACACUUACCUUUCUGGGAAUUUUACACUUUUCUUUGUUUAGGUUAAAAUGCUAUUAAUAAGCUGAUGGUACACUAAAAUGUAAGUGAAUUCCACCAGAAAUAAAACUCAUAAUUAUACCAUUCUCAUAUGGUUCUAAGAAAAAAGUUUUCUCCUGGAGGCCUCUGACUGACGUAACCACUCGCGUAGCAUCUCCCCACCACACCCCCACCCCUGAGUCUGUGAGACAACAAAUAUGCUAGUAACAGGGACGCUUGUGGAUAUAAACUAGCAACAGGAAUGCUUGUGGGUAUAAACUGUAAUUACGGUGCAACAAGAAGUAAAUUCUUCAGUGCAAUACAGUUGCGAGUUUCACACAGACAUUAGAAACCGCUGCAGAGAUCUAACGCUACAACCGCGAGAGCUCAGGAUGUGUAGCAAGCUUGGCCUGUUACGUUGAGCUAGCCCUGAGAUGACCGUGGUAUCGCCUGGAGCUGUCCCGACAGGGAGACAUUGGCAGUGCUGUGACAGGAAGCGGGAGCAGGGGAAGCGCGGAGCGGACGUUUGCCAGAAGGACGCUGGGAACAGUUCCCAGCAUCCUUCUGGCAAAUGUCCGCGAAAAAGGAUUACAUCCGACGAAAAAGGAUUACAUCCGAUUGUGGAGAUCCACUCACCGAAUUGUGAGGGACUGCUGCGUCCUUGUGUUCACUGAGACAUGGGUGAAUGGCAACAUAUCAGACUCCAGUGUUGAGCUAACGGGGCUAACACUAUAUAGAGCAGACAGGGAGGCUGCGUCAUCCGGUAAGCUCCGUGGUGUAUACACAAACAAUUCAUGGUGCUGUGAUGUGAAGAGGAUCUCCCAGUUCUGCUCUCAGGAUGUGGAGUUUUUGACUGUGAAAUGUCGACCCUUUUCAUCCUACUAUUGCACUAUAUGUUCUUUCUUUUAUGUUGCACAAAUUGUUUUUAAAUGUUUUGUUUCUUUUUGCUUUGGGUAUGCGAAAUGUCAUUUCGUUUUUGUGCUACGCAUAAAAAUGACAGAGAAGUUCAGUUCGUAACAUUAUAUAUGAUAACACAGCAUCCAGUUGCUAACGGCUAACGUUAGCCUACUGUAGUGUAGCCUCUGAAACAUUAACGUUAUCUUCCUUGUGCGUUUCCACUUACUAGUAACGUUAACGCUACUAUCUAAUGUUAGCACUGUAACCUUAUUCUCGUCAGUCAUCACUGACUCCGGUUGAGUUUUAAAACUCCGGGGUUGCAUUUUUAAUGUUACACUCGUCCUCCUCUUCCGUGUAUCUAACGUUACCUUGCCAAUGCCUACGUCUGUCUUAGAUGUAAUGAGGACGUAAUGGAGGAGGGGGUUGUAGGAUGUGGAUGGUCAGAUUUUUUCUAAAUGCUGUGUGAAAUGCAAGAAAGGUAAGAGUUCCUUUAAAUGAGCACCACUGUCAUCCUUAUCUUCAGAGUCUGACUGACACAAUUUACUUUGUAACCAUACAGUAUGUUAACUGGUUAAUUUUGGGUACAUGAUGUUAUUUCCUGUUACAUGUGGACCUACCUGAGGUUUUGUGCAAUAUUCAUUGUCUUUAAGCACUGGUUUACUUUUUAUUGCAUUUUGUUAUUAGUCAUCUACAAAAACUUUUCAUUCAAAGGAUGGGUAUGGCCUCAGAAAUAUGUCUUUUUUUCUGGAGUAAUGUGACUGUGUAUUAACCAAAUUAAAUAUCAAGAACUUUCAAGCCCCCUGCGACAAAUUGGUGAUUUUUGAUACUGGGCUACCUGCUGUUUUUCAAUAAAUACAAUAAAAAUGGUGUUCUACUGCUGUACUAGACAUUUGUCAUCACGGCUCAGCAUUAAC